rnacentral:lncRNA from 1 species
GGUGAAUGCGGGUUUAAAUGGUAUGCUGGGCGGGGCGGGUUUACCGCCUGCCAUUCCUAACUUUUGAAUUUAGAAUUUCUUUCUGUGUCGCUCUAGUUUAGCAUAACAGUAGUACACUCUAAAAUGUUGAUGUACUACUACUAGAAUCAUGGUUUGAAAGGCGAAACUGGAGAGGGAAAAGGCUAGCUCAUUUCUUCUGGCACAGUGCGAACUACGAAGGCGGAUGCAGAAGAAGAAAAAAGAGUUAAAUGAAGACGAUCACACAUCAGGUUCGUGAUAUGUUCUAUUUGUUUUGAAUUUUGAUAUUAACGAACGUGUACUUUUAAGUCUGCAAUUCUUUGACAUUUUAAUCAGAAAUUUGAAACAAACAGAUUUGGAUGUCAUAAUUUCUCUCUCUCUCUCUCUACAACUAUGGAUUGACAUCUGAUUAUUCUUCAAAUGUUUCAAAUACUUAUGUGGGAAGUUGCUUGGAUAUAAUAGUGCCACUAUUAUUGGUAAAGACAAUGUUAGGGCUAAUUAAGAAAAUUGUCGAGGAUAUUAACAGUUGUUGAUUCAUGAUAAAGGUUUGGUGAAAGAAAUCAAUGCAAUUCGCUUUUAUCUCCUUAUGAUGGAGAAAUACGAGAAGCAAAAUACUAAUUUGGUAACUCUAGUUAAUCAGCGUGUUAAUGAAUGUUGAACGGAUUACAUAUAUAAUGGACCUUAUCGGCCUGAUUUAAUGCAUAUUGUUGCUUUAUGUAGAAAGAGGCUAAUGAUAGGAAGAAGUAGGAGCCAUUGAUAUGGGAUUCAGGAUGAUUAGGUGCAUUUUCGAGGAGCCUCGUUUAAAAGGGCCCUGAAGACGGACAAUAUGGGAUAGAUAUCAUUGUAAAUCAUGAGUUUUGUAAGUGUUCUGAUGACAGAAUUAGCUAGUUUCUCACCUACUUUUAAAGUGUUCGGUGUCUAGCAAAGUAUAAUGGAAAGAUGCUAUGAAGGUUAUACACCAAGUAUGCUCGUGAUUCCACUCUGGCAUACUUUACUAUUGAACUUGUUUUUGAUGUAGGAUGUCUUGGUUCACACUUUCACUUCUAUUCUUAUUACAUAUUGUCAGGGUUUAUUCUUGCCAAGAGUAAAAGAAGUGAGGACUUUGUUAUGUUUUGUUUAAUUGCAAGUUUAAAGGACACCAAAUGUAUGGUCCAUGCAUGCUUAAACUAUUGAGGCUUUUUCUUUAAAUACUUUUUAGUGUUAUAUUUGCUAUACUUUAAGGUGGCUUGGUGAUGUAAGGUCCUUAAUUAUACAUAGAGUAAUAAGGUCUCUGUAAAUUGUAGGUGUUCUUAUGAGGGUUAUAGAAAUGCAAGAAAGUGAAAUUUUGGUAUAUCCAAGAUACUCUGUGAAGAUAAGUUAUUAAGGCUGUGGCCUAGUGAUCAAUAAAGUGGGUGAAACUUCUCAUCUAUCCAAGCCUUGGUGGAUAGAGUUAUCAGGUACUUGUGUUGGUGGUGGGAGGUGGCAGGUACCCCGUGGAAUUAGUCGUGGGAGGUGGCAGAUACCUCGAAAAAUUAGUCGAGGUGCGCGCAAACUGGCCCGGACAAUAUGGUUAUCAAAAAGAAAAAAAAGUUACCUAAUCUGACUGUGUUCAUGACUUUGAUUCUCCAAGUUCUUUAAAAGCACUACUCGUCAAUGUUCAACAUCAAAGGCACCUAAUGGUUAACGAGUUACUUCCUCAUCUUCGAUAAGCUCUGCUGUCUUUCGUUGGUUCUUUUCUAGGUGUUCGUUGUGAUCUCAAAUAGUUUUUUCAGUAUCUUCAACAGUUAAAUUUUGUUUGUUUCUUUCUGGGAUGUUGUAUACUGAUUGACUGAUUGUUGGCUAUAUUUGUAUUGGUAGGCAAUUGGAUGGUCAAAAGAAUAUCAACUGUUAAUAAACAGUAAACUUUACUGUAAAUACCUACUGACAGAAUAUGCAUAGCAUUGGAUCUCCACUGCCUUUAUACUCAAAUUAAAAUGAGUUCGUACUAUGCCUUGAGCUGAUAUUAUCUGCUAGUACUGACAAGUGACUAUAAUAAUCUAAACUAAAGGGCAAAAGAGUUAUUUGAGCACAAGAACUAAAUGCAAGUUUGUUCAGUUCAACAGAUGCUACUUGGGUGUUAUUUUCUUUGCAUUUACUUUUGUGCUAACAUUUUGCUUUAUACAAUGACCUGUACUUUGACUAAUCUAAAUGUUGGCUGUCGUUCUAUAUGACUACCUUUCAGCCAGUGGCGGAGCUACAUAGCUCCAAGGGGUGGCUUCACGAAAAAAUACACUGUUUAGAUAAGUAAAUUUUUGUAUGUAUAUAUAUUAUGUAUUGAAUUCCCUUGACCUAUUUGUGUAUUUACUUCUUUAAAUUUUGACAAAUCCUCGCUCCGCUACUGCUUACAGCGUAGUGAUUCAUGCUAGUUGGGUAAGGGUCGGGUGAAUUGAUGAGCUUCUCUGUUGUUUACAACAACAGAACAACUACCAGUAGUUUGUUCUUUCCAUCUGCUAUUGUGCACCGAAAGUGGAAUAUGCCAACUCUGUGUCCAAGUGAAAACAUUUGUACUUUUCUUUUUGUUAAGGUACAAUUUACAUGCAUCUUAUAGUUUCUUUGUUUGAUUGGUGCAUUUUAUCGAACAAAACGUUAGUAGGUGUCCAAAUUUUACCUCAUUAUUUAGGACCCAAAUUCUAGGCUCUUAAUUUCUUUUCUCACCGUUCCUUUUCCCCAUUACUGUGUUCUUCUGGUGUUUUUGUUUGAAUGCUGCUGGUGUUAUGGGAUAUAUGCCAUACACAGUAAUCUGUCACUAUUGCCAUUAUUAGAAAUUUAGAACUGCUUCAAAAAGUUUUCAAAACUGUUUGGCAAGGCCUUCUAAGUCCUCUAAUAUAAUGGUGAUAGAACCUUGACCUCUGCCGUGAAAGUUGCCCGUACUGGUCUGUGGUCUGACAAUCUAAACUCACCUCUAUUAUACUGGCUUUGCUUCAGUCCCUUGCCAAACCAUAUAAUCCUGUCACACCUAUAGAAUAUUUUUCUUUAUUAAAUAUGCUUGUUCCAUUUGCUUUUAGGUCAAAUAAUUCUUAUGUUCUUAGGCAACUUACCAAGCUGGGGCUCGACUCUUUCCCCUUUUCCCGUUCUGACUGCAGCCAUAAUAAUCAUCGGAAUCUGGAUAAUAUUUGUAUGUUGGUGCAAACUCAAUUUCUUCCUCUUGCCAACCUUUGAAAAUACAGCCUUCUCUUAGCUCGGCCUUCAGCUUCAUAUUUCCAAGUUUUCAAUGUGAACUUCCAAAUAAUGGUGAUACUAGGAGUACAAACUUACUGUAUAUUUGAAUGCUUUCUGGAACUUUAUAAUUGUUAUUUUUUUGCUUACAGUACCUGAUCCUUUUGUAAUAAGAUGCUCCACUGCCUGUCGUUGACUAAAGAUCUUGUUAUGGCUUCAGGCAAGUAAAUCCUAUAAUUCAGGUCUCCUAGCCAAAUCACCCUACUGUAUGAGAUUAACCAGCUUAUGGUUGUUAGAAGAUAAUUUCAAUAUAUUCACAAGUUGGUAUAUAAUAGUAAUCAAUAUGUCCAAAGUGAAGUCUUCUUUGUUGUACCUAUAACACGUCAGCUAGCCAAAUCAUCUACAGUAUGAUGUUAACCAGCUUAUGGUUGUUAGAAGACUUUGCAAGAUAUUCACAAGUUGAUAUAUAGGAGUAAUAAUCAGUUUAUACGAAGUGAAGUCUUCUUUAUUGUGCUAAGAAAGACAAGUGUAAAACUAUUUGCGCAAAUGCUGACAUGUGCAUUUAACACAAUCUCUUUCCCCCUUAUCUUUUAUGUUCUUUUUCUCACCUAAUCAACUGUCUAUGGGUCUUGGGCAGGAUAAUAGCGUCUGCUUCUUGCCUCUACGAAGCACAAUCAAACGUUUAACUGUGUUAUCAGCACACUAGCUGCUGAUGCUAUAUCAAGAUUCAAGGUACUGUAACUCU